CCUGGUGGCUCAGCCAGUAAAGCAUCUGCCUACAAUGCGGGAGACCCAGGUUUGAUUCCUGGGUCAGGA
rnacentral:tRNA from 1 species